rnacentral:rRNA from 1 species
GGAUGAACGCUAGCGGCAGGCUUAAUACAUGCAAGUCGAACGGUAAGUUUGGUAGCAAUAUCAAACCAAGAGUGACGUACGGGUGCGUAACACGUAUGCAACCUACCUUGUACAGGAGUAUAGCUCGGGGAAACUCGAAUCAACCCUCCAUGAGAUCAUAGAAUGGCAUCAUUUUAGUGAUUAAAACUCAGGUGGUACAAGAUGGGCAUGCGUCUGAUUAGUUAGUUGGCGGGGUAAUGGCCCACCAAGACGAUGAUCAGUAGGGGACCUGAGAGGGUGAUCCCCCACACUGGCACUGAGAUACGGGCCAGACUCCUACGGGAGGCAGCAGUAGGGAAUAUUGGUCAAUGGGUGAGAGCCUGAACCAGCCAUGCCGCGUG